rnacentral:rRNA from 1 species
CGACGUAGCGACAAGUACCGUGAGGGAAAGAUGAAAAGAACUUUGAAAAGAGAGUUAAACAGUACGUGAAAUUGUUGAAAGGGAAACGAUUGAAGCCAGUCGUACCUUCGGGUAAUCAGCCUUUCGAGUGCGAUUCUGUGGAGUUUGAGGAGCUUAACACCUUCAUGCUUUGCAUAUUCGUGCUCUUGGGUGUACUUGCCCGUGUGGUUGGUUAACAUCAAUUUUGGUGGUCAUAAAAUGACUGGAGGAAUUAGCUUCGAUUA